AUUGUUAGAUAAAUACAGAGUUUCAAUGUGCAGCACUGAAAAAAGAAAGAAGUCAAAGGAGGCACUAAUGGGUCCUGAGGUAAAUGAGGUGCAUCCAACCAUCUCUUGUAUCUACAGCUACUAGUUGUGGCUCUCCAGAGUUAAAGUAGAAGUUAAUCUACUUGUUUAUAUCAUGUUGACCAAGGAGACGUAUUUUCACAGCAGUCAGCUUCCUAAAUGUGAAUGUUUUUCAGUCUCUUUGCUCCUCUAUGACAGAACACUGAAUAUCUUUUGGUUGGGACAAAAAAAAACAUUUGCCGAGAUCAUGUUGUUGCUCCGGGAAACACUGUUAGAUACUUGUCACCAUUUUUUUCUCCAUUUUAUAGAAACAAACAACUAAUCAAUCAACCGAGAACAUAGUCAACAUUGAUUUUCAAUAAUAAGCAUUCAUUAGUUUCAGCCCUAUUCACUUCCAAGCUGCUCUCUAAGCUGUUGAAUAUAAGCUGAAACAACAUGGAAAUAAUGUUUGUGUUGUACUGACGUGGAUUUUUAGGUGUGACUGUUUUCAGUCAAUUAAACUGUUAGAUGCAACUAGGAUUGCUCUACACUCUCCUCCCUUGAGUAUCAUCAAAACAUUGGUGCUGGCAUCUGACUUUGUUUGGGGUUACCAGGAUGGAUGCCCACCUUUCCCCCCUUUUUCUUGGUCUUCUUGUGUUUCUUUUUUCUUUACACUGGCUGCAAAAAUGAGGUAUAAUGAGAUGUGGGGUUUUUUGACAUUCAGUUUGACAUUUCUGUUACACAGAAGGUAAUUACUGUUGAUAGGAGACAGAGAGGUGAAUAUAUACAACUAGAAACCAGUAAAUAGACUGUUUGAACUAGUGUUUUUAUUACACAAGGUUAGUGUCAAUGAGAAAUGACAGCGUGAAACACUAGUUAAGUGGCACCUGUGAUACUAACACUGUUAUUCAAACAUUUCACUGUCUUGGCUUGGGGUACUGUGUAGUUUUGGAGAAGAAAUUCAACCUCAGAGUUUUAAUAUAUAUGAUAUUAAUGAGGUAUUAAUACAAACUAAGAAACAUUUUGUGUGUCCAUUGCUGUCAUUGAAGAUCUUUCUCUUCUGAUUAAAUAAUUUCUUUCCUUUGACUCAUCAGUUACAUCUUUGUUACUGGACUACAAUGAGUAAUAGUUUUCAUAAUCAGAUAUAUUUCGUAUUAAUUAAUUACUCUGUUGGUCUCUUGAAUAUCACCAAAUAAUGAAGAAUGGUCAUCAGAAGUGUCCAGAGCCAAAGGUUUGCUUGACAACCAUUGAAAACCCCAAGAUGUUCAGUAUAAAAUCAUAAAAGACUAAGAAUACCUGAAAAUAGUCACAUUAGACAAGCUGCAUCCAGUUUGUUUUGGCCAUUUAUGCUUUGAAAUGUUGAUUUACUUGUUAAGCAAUUAACAAAAUGGCUCCCAAGCAUUUUCGACUGUUUUAAGAAGAUUGUGUUUCAGGAAAAUGUUGAGCAAUUGAAAAAAACAGAAAGACUAUAGACAAGUUUUCUUUAAAGAAAUAAUCAUUGGACAAGUGUUGUGACACCAUCAUCGGUCAGUUAUUUGAGUGAUUGACAUGAGUCUUUCCUGUCUGAAGCAGAUGUGCUUGUUUGGAGUCAUGUCAUGUCAUGGGAGCUAACAACAGAGGAAACCCUCACUGCCCCCGAAUGCAAAGUUGGCCAGAGGCCACUGCCCGGGCUCGCCUCCCUGCAUGAUUUCUGCUGCCUGUCCCAAGACGGUGAGGCUUCAGUGCUCCUGCUGACAAGGCAGAAAUGGGUGAAUGUAAUUAUGUGGCCGCUGCAUUGGAGGAAUCCAUCACCUGAGCAGCAGCAGGCUUGGACCACCUGAGUCAUGGAAACACUCUCAGCCUCGGCUUUGAGCAGAUGUGCUCAGACCCCGAAGAUCUACAGGUGGAGGGGACGACUGUGAGCCUCCAUCAAGCCAACUUUGGGAUGAGUAGGAUGACGAAGCUUCCGAUGAGAAG